CCCCCCCCCCCCCAGUGAGUCAUCUAGCCGUUAAUGUGCUGGCGAUUGUUAUCCUUUCCCAGGUAAAAUGCGGUGUUUCCCGUUGCAUUACUCGUUACCUGGUGCUUAUGGCAGCUGCCGAUUUGAUGGUCAUUAUCACUGAGGUUGCCCCUUGAGAAGGUGGCAGUGAGCUGCCUUCUUGAACUGCUGCAGUC